rnacentral:rRNA from 1 species
UACGUAGGCAGCAAGCGUUGUUCGGAGUUACUGGGCGUAAAGGGGGCGUAGGCGGCUUUUUAAGUUUGGUGUGAAAUCUCCCGGCUCAACUGGGAGGGUGCGCCGAAUACUGAGAGGCUAGAGUGUGGGAGAGGAAAGUGGAAUUCCUGGUGUAGCGGUGAAAUGCGUAGAUAUCAGGAGGAACACCGGUGGUGUAAACGGCUUUCUGGACCACUUCUGACGCUGAGACACGAAAGCGUGGGUAGCAAACAGG